GGUUCCUAAGGCGAGGCUGAAAAGCGUAGUCGAUGGGAAACAGGUUAAUAUUCCUGUACUUCUGGUUACUGCGAUGGAGGGACGGAGAAGGCUAGGCCAGCUUGGCGUUGGUUGUCCAAGUUUAAGGUGGUAGGCUGAAAUCUUAGGUAAAUCCGGGGUUUCAAGGCCGAGAGCUGAUGACGAGUCGUCUUUUAGAUGACGAAGUGGUUGAUGCCAUGCUUCCAAGAAAAGCUUCUAAGCUUCAGGUAACCAGGAACCGUACCCCAAACCGACACAGGUGGUCGGGUAGAGAAUACCAAGGCGCUUGAGAGAACUCGGGUGAAGUAACUAGGCAAAAUGGCACCGUAACUUCGGGAGAAGGUGCGCCGGCUAGGGUGAAGGAUUUACUCCGUAAGCUCUGGCUGGUCGAAGAUACCAGGCCGCUGCGACUGUUUAUUAAAAACACAGCACUCUGCAAACACGAAAGUGGACGUAUAGGGUGUGACGCCUCCCCGGUGCCGGAAGGUUAAUUGAUGGGGUUAGCGCAAGCGAAGCUCUUGAUCGAAGCCCCGGUAAACGGCGGCCGUAACUAUAACGGUCCUAAGGUAGCGAAAUUCCUUGUCGGGUAAGUUCCGACCUGCACGAAUGGCGUAACGAUGGCGGCGCUGUCUCCACCCGAGACUCAGUGAAAUUGAAAUCGCUGUGAAGAUGCAGUGUAUCCGCGGCUAGACGGAAAGACCCCGUGAACCUUUACUGUAGCUUUGCACUGGACUUUGAGCCUGCUUGUGUAGGAUAGGUGGGAGGCUUUGAAGCGUGGACGCCAGUUCGCGUGGAGCCAUCCUUGAAAUACCACCCUGGCAUGCUUGAGGUUCUAACUCUGGUCCGUAAUCCGGAUCGAGGACAGUGUAUGGUGGGCAGUUUGACUGGGGCGGUCUCCUCCUAAAGAGUAACGGAGGAGUACGAAGGUGCGCUCAGACCGGUCGGAAAUCGGUCGCAGAGUAUAAAGGCAAAAGCGCGCUUGACUGCGAGACAGACACGUCGAGCAGGUACGAAAGUAGGUCUUAGUGAUCCGGUGGUUCUGUAUGGAAGGGCCAUCGCUCAACGGAUAAAAGGUACUCCGGGGAUAACAGGCUGAUACCGCCCAAGAGUUCAUAUCGACGGCGGUGUUUGGCACCUCGAUGUCGGCUCAUCACAUCCUGGGGCUGAAGCCGGUCCCAAGGGUAUGGCUGUUCGCCAUUUAAAGUGGUACGCGAGCUGGGUUUAGAACGUCGUGAGACAGUUCGGUCCCUAUCUGCCGUGGACGUUUGAGAUUUGAGAGGGGCUGCUCCUAGUACGAGAGGACCGGAGUGGACGAACCUCUGGUGUUCCGGUUGUCACGCCAGUGGCAUUGCCGGGUAGCUAUGUUCGGAAAAGAUAACCGCUGAAAGCAUCUAAGCGGGAAACUUGCCUCAAGAUGAGAUCUCACUGGGAACUUGAUUCCCCUGAAGGGCCGUCGAAGACUACGACGUUGAUAGGCUGGGUGUGUAAGCGUUGUGAGGCGUUGAGCUAACCAGUACUAAUUGCCCGU
rnacentral:rRNA from 1 species